rnacentral:rRNA from 1 species
AUCUAUACUGUGAAACUGCGAAUGGCUCAUUAAAUCAGUUAUCGUUUAUUUGAUAGUACCUUACUACUUGGAUAACCGUGGUAAUUCUAGAGCUAAUACAUGCUAAAAACCCCGACUUCGGGAGGGGUGUAUUUAUUAGAUAAAAAACCAAUGCCCUUCGGGGCUCCUUGGUGAUUCAUGAUAACUUAACGAAUCGCAUGGCCUUGCGCCGGCGAUGGUUCAUUCAAAUUUCUGCCCUAUCAACUUUCGAUGGUAGGAUAGUGGCCUACCAUGGUAUCAACGGGUAACGGGGAAUUAGGGUUCUAUUCCGGAGAGGGAGCCUGAGAAACGGCUACCACAUCCAAGGAAGGCAGCAGGCGCGCAAAUUACCCAAUCCCGACACGGGGAGGUAGUGACAAUAAAUACUGAUACAGGGCUCUUUCGGGUCUUGUAAUUGGAAUGAGUACAAUUUAAAUACCUUAACGAGGAACAAUUGGAGGGCAAGUCUGGUGCCAGCAGCCGCGGUAAUUCCAGCUCCAAUAGCGUAUAUUAAAGUUGUUGCAGUUAAAAAGCUCGUAGUUGAACCUUGGGCCUGGCUGGCCGGUCCGCCUCACCGCGUGUACUGGUCCGGCCGGGCCUUUCCUUCUGGGGAUCCGCAUGCCCUUCACUGGGUGUGUCGGGGAACCAGGACUUUUACUUUGAAAAAAUUAGAGUGUUCAAAGCAGGCCUUUGCUCGAAUACAUUAGCAUGGAAUAAUAGAAUAGGACGUGCGGUCCUAUUUUGUUGGUUUCUAGGACCGCCGUAAUGAUUAAUAGGGAUAGUCGGGGGCAUCAGUAUUCAAUUGUCAGAGGUGAAAUUCUUGGAUUUAUUGAAGACUAACUACUGCGAAAGCAUUUGCCAAGGAUGUUUUCAUUAAUCAGUGAACGAAAGUUAGGGGAUCGAAGACGAUCAGAUACCGUCGUAGUCUUAACCGUAAACUAUGCCGACUAGGGAUCGGGCGAUGUUAUUCUUUUGACUCGCUCGGCACCUUACGAGAAAUCAAAGUCU